GACGAACGCUGGCGGCGUGCUUAACACAUGCAAGUCGAACGGAACGGCCCUGCUUUUGUGGGGUGCUCGAGUGGCGAACUGGUGAGUAACACGUUAGUUACCUGCCCUUUCCUUUGGGAUAACUUCAGGACACUGGGGCUAAUACCGGCUAGGAGCUCCUGCUGCAUGGUGGGGCUUCGAAAGUUUCGGCAGUUGGGGAGGGAAUCGCGGCUUAUCAGCUUGUUGGUGGGGUAGUGGCUUAUCAAGGCAUUGACGGGUAGCCGGACGGAGAGGGUGACAGGCCACAUCGGGAUUGAAAUAAGGCCCAGACUAAUGAGAGAGGCAGAAGUGGGGAAUGUGGUACAAGGGGAGGAAGAAUGACGUAGCAAAGCCACGUGCGGGAUGACGGGAAGGGGGUUGUAUUCCACAAUCGCCUGUGACGAAGUGAGAAUGACGGUAACGGGUAAAGAAGCACCGGCUAACUACGUG
rnacentral:rRNA from 1 species